AAAUUAGAGUUUGAUCCUGGCUCAGAACGAAACGCUGGCGGCAGAGCUUAACACAUGCCAAGUCGAGCGCCCCGCAAGGGGAGCGGCAGACGGGUGAGUAACGCGUGGGAAUCUACCCAUCCCUACGGAACAACUCCGGGAAACUGGAGCUAAUACCGUAUACGCCCUUAGGGGGAAAGAUUUAUCGGGGAUGGAUGAGCCCGCGUUGGAUUAGCUAGUUGGUGGGGUAAAGGCCUACCAAGGCGACGAUCCAUAGCUGGUCUGAGAGGAUGAUCAGCCACAUUGGGACUGAGACACGGCCCAAACUCCUACGGGAGGCAGCAGUGGGGAAUAUUGGACAAUGGGCGCAAGCCUGAUCCAGCCAUGCCGCGUGAGUGAUGAAGGCCUUAGGGUUGUAAAGCUCUUUCACCGGUGAAGAUAAUGACGGUAACCGGAGAAGAAGCCCCGGCUAACUUCGUGCCAGCCGCCGCGGUAAUAC
rnacentral:rRNA from 1 species